GAUGAACGCUGGCGGCGUGCCUAAUACAUGCAAGUCGAGCGAACAGAUGAGGAGCUUUCUCCUCUGACGUUAGCGGCGGACGGGUGAGUAACACGUGGAUAACCUACCUAUAAGACUGGGAUAACUUCGGGAAACCGGCGCUAAUACCGGAUAAUAUAUUGAACCGCAUGGUUCAAUAGUGAAAGACGGUUUUGCUGUCACUUAUAGAUGGAUCCGCGCCGCAUUAGCUAGUUGGUAAGGUAACGGCUUACCAAGGCAGCGAUGCGUAGCCGACCUGAGAGGGGGGUCGACCAGAUUGGAACUGAGACACGGUCCAGACACCUACGGGAGGCAGCAGUAGGGAAUCUUCCGCAAUGGGCGAGAGCCUGACGGAGCAACGCCGCGUGAGUGAUGAAGGUCUUCGGAUCGGAAAACUCUGUUGUUAGGGAAGAACAAAUGUGUAAGUAACUAUGCACGUAUUGACGGUACCUGAUCAAAAAGCCACGGCUAACUACGUG
rnacentral:rRNA from 1 species